ensembl:lncRNA
CUUGAUUUAUAUAUUCUAUGCUCCCUUGAAAUAACUUUAAGAGUGGAUGUUAUGCCCAGUAGAACUGGAGGACCACAGCAGUCUUCAUUUUCCAUAACCAUCAAUUUCUUAAAUUUUUGGUAACAGUGAUAGGCAAUAUGUUUGAGAUUAUAUUCCCUGAGAUUAUAUAUUAUGACUGGCACACAUCUCUUUAUGUUUUGGGGUGAGUUGAAAUGGAGAUAGGAUUCAUAUUCUUGUCAUGAAAAAAGGAGAACACUAAGAAAUUCAUAGUCUCAAUAUACAGACUUUCUACUUCUAAUUUCAGAAGAUUAUGAAGCAGUAUCUACCAGUGGAGUAAAGACAAUCAACAUUUUUCUCAAUAUUUAGAGUUGAGCAGUCAACUCCAGCAUUUAAUCAAAUAGACAAUUGAGAACCAAGACAAUUCCAAAUCUUCACAUAGUAAAACAUUCUAGUAUUGGUUUAUUUAUUCAGUUAGCCAACAAAUGAUGUGUAGCAUCUACUAUCUUUAAACCAAAUGUAACUAAGCUCCUCUUUUCUUCCAACCCAUUGUAUGUACUUAUAAAAUGACUAACAUCAGGUGUGUGUGUGUGUGUUUGUGUCCACAUGUGUGUGUAAAUAGGUAUUGAAUCCAAGCUCUUGGACUUGGUAGGCGCACAAUCUACUACUGACUUACUUCCACAGUCUCCAGCCAAUAAUGAUUAACUUAUUUUUUUUCCAUUAAGUUUAUUGGUACAUUUUAGGUAUACAAUACAAUUACAUUCAUCAGUGGCAUCUUGUACCUUUACAUGAUGCAUCUUGGUUCUCAUUUUUUUCCCAUUUCCCUGCCCUCCCUUCAACCCCCUCCAUCCUUCCCUAUUUACAAAGACUUUGUUUCCAUUUUUUCUUUUCUAUUUUUCUUUUCCCUUCUUUCCCCUACCUCUUCUACUUCCAUUACCCCUUUAGACCUUUUCUUCCUAUUUCACAAUAUCAAUUAUACAUUUUGAUCUUUAUUUACACUUUUAGUUUUUCACAUCAGAGAAACUAUUUGGUAUUUACAAGUAUGUCCUAUUUAUUUCACUUAAGAGCAUGGCCUCAAUGUGCAUCCACUUAGCUAUAAAUAUCUCUAGUUUCUCAUUCUUUGUGGCUGAGUAGUACUCCAUUUUAUAAGAAAAAAUACAUCUUCUUUAUCCAGUCUCCAGUUGUUGGGGACUUGGGCUGUUUCCAAGUUUUAGCUAUUACAACUGUGCUGCUAUAAAUAUGGGUAAGCAUAUAUCACUGUGAUAUGAUUCUUUUAAUUCUUUUGGGAAGAUACCCAGCAGAGGAAUAGCUGGGUCAAAUGGGAAUUCUAAUCGUACUUUUUCAAGGUAUCUCCAUAUUGAUUUACACAGUGGUUGCAGCAGUCUGCAUUCCCACAACAAUGAAGCAGGGUUCCUUUCUCCCCUCAAUCCCGCCAGCAUUUGUUAUUGUUUGAUUUACCUUUCUUUCUGGGGUGAGGUGGAAUCUCAGUGUUGUUUUCAUCUGCAUCUCUCAAGUGACCAGUGAUGUUGAAUAUUUUUUCAUAUGUUUAUUUGCUGCUUUUACCUCUUUGAGAAAUGUCUGUUCAUUUUUUUUUUUUUUGGUACUGGGGAUCGAACUGGGGUCCUUGCACUUGCAGGGCACGUGGCAGAACCACUGAGCUAAAUCCCCGGCCUUGUCUGUUCAUUUUAGAUGCUCAUUUUUGAACUGAGUCUUUAAAUUUAGGGGGUCUGAUUUUUUUGAGUUCUUUAUAUAUUCUAGAUAGUAGAUCUUUGUCUGAGGAACAUCUGGUAAAAAUUUUUUGCCACAUUGUAGGUUGUCUCUCAGCUCUCUUGGUGGUUUCUCUUGCAGUGCAGAAGCUUUUUAAUAAGAUGAGAUCCCAGUUGCUGAUUCUUUGUGCUAGUUCCAGUGCUACUGAGGAUUUGUUCAUCAAGUCUUUUCCUAUGCUAAUGUCUUUGAGAGUUCUACCUAUCUUCCAUCAAGUUUAGUGUUUAUGUUUUAAUAUUUAGAUCUUUAAUCCGCUUCAAUUUUAGUUUAGUGCAUGCUGAAAGAUAGGGGUUUAGUUUUAAUCUUAGGCAAGUUGAAAUCCAGUUUUUCCAACACCAUUUAUUAAAGAGGCUAUCUUUCCUCCAGUGAGAGUGUUUGGCUCCUUUGUCAAAGAUGAGGUGGCUGAGUGUGUCUGGAGUUGAUUCUGCAUCUUCUAAUCUGUUUCAGUGAUCCUAUGGUCUGUUUCUUUGCCAGUACCAUGCUGUUUUUAUCACAGUAGCUUUGUAGUAUAGUUUCAAAUUGGGGAUUGUGAUACCCCCUACCUUGUCUUUAUUACCUAAUAUGGCUUUUGGUAUUCUAGGUCUAUUCUUGAUCCAAAUGAAUUUUUGGAUUGUUUUCUCCAGGUCUCUGAAGUAUGCUGCUGGGAUUUAAAUUGGGAUUGCAUUAAAUCUAUAUAGCAGUUUUGGAAGUAUGGCCAUUUUCACUAUGUUGAUUCUUCCUACCCAAGAGCAAGGGAUGUCUUUCCAUUUUCUGAUAUUGUCUUCAAUCUCUUUUUUCAGAGUGCUAUAGUUUUCAGAGAAGAAGUCUCUGAUUUCUUUUGUUAGAUUGCUUCCUAGGAAUUUCAAUUUUUUUGAUGCUAUUGUAAAACGAAUUGAUUGCCCCUUUUCUCUCUCAGUGAGUCUGUUUUCCAUGUACAGAAAAGCUAUUGAUUUUUGUGUGUUAACCUUGUAUACAGCUACUUUACUGAAUUUGGUUAUUAAGUCUAGAAGACUUUUGGUGGAGUUCUUGGGAUAUUCUAUAUAGAGUAUCAUGUCAUCUGCAAAUAAUGAUAAUUUGAUUCUUCAUUUCCUGUCUUUAUUCCUUUUAUUUCUUUCUAUUGUUUAAUUGCCGUGGCUAAUGUUUCCAAAACUAUAUUGAAUAGGAGUGGUGAUAGUGGA